GCCUGCGACCGUACCACGUUGAAUGCUCCCGAUCCCGUUCGAUCUCGAAAGAUAAGCUACGUCAAGCCAGGUUUAUAGUACUCAAAUGGGUGACCGCUUGGGAACACUAGGUGUUGCAGGCG
rfam:Ramazzottius varieornatus DNA, contig: Scaffold001, strain: YOKOZTNA-1.